UACAGAGGUCUCACGCGUUGUUCGGAAUUCCUGGGCGUAAAGGGUGCGCAGGCCGCGCGGGCAGUCAAAUGUGUAAUUCAGGGGCUCAACCCCUGCACUGCGCUUGAUACUUCCGCGCUCGAGCUUUGGAAAGGAGUCUGGAAUUCUCGGUGUAGCAGUGAAAUGCGUGGAUAUCGAGAAGAACACUUAGGGCGAAGGCAAGACUCUGGACAAAUGCUGACGCUCAUGCACGAAGGCUAGGGUAGCAAACGGG
rnacentral:rRNA from 1 species